GGUUUAUUGAUCUUUAUGCCUCAGGAUCUUGCACAUUACAUCUUAAUUGUGGGCCUUGGUUAAUAGUAAGUAUUUUGGGUGGACUAGGCACCUCUUAUUGAAUGACUGUCGUUUCAGCUCCAUCAAGUUUCCUUUGAGUAUCCCUGGGGAUCUCACAGUUUUUCUUUGCAUGUUUGAAGACAGGCACUGUUUUCAUAAAGAUAACAGGGGUAGACUUAUGUUUUAUCACUGUGCCCUCUUGUGGUGUGCCUUAAUCAUGCCUUUGUCCCUAAAAAGAACCCAGGUUCAAACCAUGUGAAGUCAUUCCUCAGCAAAGAUUCUUGGAUUCCACCUCAGCCUCUGCUAAAUGAUUUCUCAGUCCUGGCACCCUAGAGCUGGUCAGUCUUGGAGUUUAUGCAAAGCCUCAUUCAGUGUUGACACCCUCCACACCUACCUCCUUACCCUUUGGAGAGAAGAUGGCCAGGAACAGGAGUAUGCUGAAUUUGUGUGCUUCAGUCUGUGUGACCAGACCCUAUGUUCAAAAGCAAACAUAAGACAGCAGGGAGUGAUAACUUGCUCCAUUUCUGGAUAACAGUGACCUUGUACCCUCAGAGGGAUAAGAUGUGUACUUCAUGAAAUGUUUGGACCAACAAAAUAUUAAUACUGGUUUUCCUGGGGCAACUGAGCAUUUGCUAAGUUGCUUCCAGGGCUGGUGAGCUGGCUCAAUGGGUAAAAGCACCGACACAAAUCAAGAGCAGGUCUUUGAAGGUUAUACCCAAGUCUGAUUCCAGCCUGAAGUCUCUGCUUCCUGGUCUACUUUGAUGGAGGGACACUCCACCACACAUUUCCAUCACCAACUGCUCCUGACAUGCUUCUGUGCCAUGGCAGUCUCUGCAGUUUCCUGCUAAACAUCAACUGUAUCAAGAAAGAGGAAACAGCUUCAGCAAGCAGUUAAUAUCUAACCCAGU
rnacentral:lncRNA from 1 species